GUCCAUCUAGCCCAGUAUCCUGUCUUCAACAGUGGCCAAUACCAGGCUUCAGGGGGAGUAUACAGAACAGGGUAAUUGGUUGAGUGCUCCAAUCCUG